GCAUGAGUAGCUCAGCGUUUAGAGCACCAGUCUUGUAAACUGGUUGCCGAGGGUUAAACCCCCUCCUCUUGCU
rnacentral:tRNA from 1 species